GAUGGGAUGCCUGACAAAAGGAUUAUUUUGAUAGAAUAAAUUAUACAUUUACCAAUGUUCCCAUUA
rnacentral:tRNA from 1 species